AAUUCCCGCCGCAUACAAUGUUGUGAUGACCGUUGCGGUUUAGAAAUCCGCGCAAGUAUUAUACGACCGUUGACGGCAGAACGAAACGAUUGUGAUCUCAACGAAAAUACCUUACGCUUGUUGUACACGUUUAUACGCAGGAUCAUCCGAUCGUAAACUUGUGUUGCCGCGGACAUUUUAACGGCAAAUAACGCGAGAUAAAUUCAAUCUGCGUAUACGUGUACGUGUUAACACGUGCACACACACGUACCUACACACGGGGUCCGUUAGACUUCUUCGAUAUCGCCCGAGAUCGCGUUAAACGUUUGCUACAGCGCAGUCGCGAAUAUUAUGUUUGAUACACGCUGCCGCAUGGAAUAUCGCAAAUCGUACGCAAAUGUUUUCUUAGACAAACACCGAAUCCAAGCGCGUGUAUAAUAACGUUAUUAUCGGUAUAAUUACCGCGCCGUGUCGAUAGUUUCGCAACGGCAUUAUUAACGAACGCGCGCGUAACAGGCGCGUAUUUAGCUGUCGAAAUGCCCGGUGUUUGUUGAUCCGUCAACGUCCGUUUAAUUAACUAAAUUAGUUAUGGGACGUAGAGCCGUUAUCACGCCGGGCGCCGAGCGUGUAUCGGCCGAUGCGUACACUGAAUUAUUAACGGCCGCGUAAUGAGUGUCUUGAGACCAUCGCCGUUUCCAAAACAAAUAAAAAGUUCGCGUAGUUUACGCGAGUUCGCGUCAUAACUUUCGUCAACGUACACAGUAAAACACCGAUUGCGCAACGCCCACCACCCCUCCC